UAUGGAGGGGAGUCAUUCCUGAGCAACAGUAGGAACUUUUUUCUCAGGGUUAAGUACCGUGCUGUCCUCCUUUAAACCAGUGAGAUGGCAGUCUGGGAGAAGGAUAUGAAAAAUAGAUGGGCUUAAAUUGAAACCUGGCAUCUGGAGCAGCUUUGGCAGACCUCGAGAUAAUACUUCAAAGUUGUUCAGCCCCACAAGCUCUACCUUACUUUAUUUGAAAGAGGAAAGCCAGUGAGGACCUGUGAACAAUCCAGCAGCUUCUGAAAAAUCUUCAUGCUAAAGGAUAAUCCAGAAUUCCCUGAAGAAGAACAUAGUGAAUGCUCCAGAAAUGCAGAUGACAGGUGGUGGCUGGACAGGGGCUGAAGAAAAGUUUCACUCUCCAUGACGUUUGAUUAGGCAAGGCUAGGUAAGUAUCAGGAAGUUAGCAAAUGUUUUUUAGUUACAAUAUUUUCCUUAGCAGGUAAUAGAAGAGUUAGGGAGACUUUGUUGCCUUUGGGUGAAUUAGGUUAUGUGGAGGAAGCAACUGUUUUGCUCCAAUAGUAAAAUCCGUGAGUUUUUACAGUGGUGGGGGGCUCAUGAU
rnacentral:lncRNA from 1 species